rnacentral:misc_RNA from 1 species
GUGAAUCAUCAAAUCUUUGAACGCAAAUUGCACUCUCUGGUAUUCCGGAGAGUAUGCCUGUUUGAGGGUCAGUAUAUAUAAAAAUCGGUGUGGUUUCUGCCUUUCUUGGUGGCGCACCGGAUUUGGGUCGGCUUGCCUUCGGUUCUGUGACCUAAAGUGUUGCAUGAAUUGUUUCGAACGUAUUUAAAUAAUUUUACGUAGCUUUCGGAUGACGGAUACUAGUUGU